AACCUGCCUCACACUGGGGGACAACAGUUAGAAAUGACUGCUAAUACCGCAUAAGCGCACAGGACCGCAUGGUCCGGUGUGAAAAACUCCGGUGGUGUGAGAUGGACCCGCGUUUGAUUAGCUAGUUGGUGGGGUAACGGCCUACCAAGGCGACGAUCAAUAGCCGACCUGAGAGGGUGACCGGCCACAUUGGGACUGAGACACGGCCCAA
rnacentral:rRNA from 1 species